AAUUAAUUGAACUUAGCAAUAUGUUGACAAAUAAUAUUCUUAGAUAUUUUUAAGAGAGUAUAUUUCAUUUUAAAAUUACUCUACCCUCCAAUUUUAUCAAAAUAUCUAUUCAUAGCUAUCCAUUAUUAUUUUAUAAAAUCCUAAUUCCUAACCCUAAAUUCCCAAAUUCCCAAAUUGAGAAAACAGAAACCUUAAUCUCCUCUAACCCUAACAGCCGCCGAAACCUCCUUCCCCCAAACUCAGCAGCUUAGAUGCAAAAACACUGGAGAAACGAGAAACAGAGAGAACGGAGAGUGCAGAGAAAGGAGAGGGAGGCUGACGCAGUCGCCACCUCCGUCGCGUGUCACCACCGGUCAUUGCUGCUGAGCCAUCGUCGGAAACGGAACCGCGGAGAGAGAGAGAGCCGUCCGGCCACCUUGCCAGAGCCGUCGUUUCUGCGCCGUCGCCGUUGAAGGAGGAAGCUAUUUAUGCCUAUCGCAGUCCCAUGGAGUCCACGCUGCCAUCGCGAGUGAGAGAGGGAGGCGUUGCUGCUUGCGCCGCCGCCUUGCCUCCGUCACCGCUGGGGUUUCGUUGCUACCGUCGUUGGUUCGCCGUGGAAGAGAGUGGAUCUGAGGGGAGAGAACUCGAGGAAGAGAAGAACACGAAGAGGAGGAUCGUUGCUGUCGCCACCGCUGCUGAAGACCAGCCACCACGCCGAGCUUUUACCGUCACCAUUCUGCCCGAUGUCGCCAGCACUGAAGUCGGCCGCUUCCACCGUCGAGCCUUGGAACGGGUGUUGCUUUUGGAGGUUUGGAAGGGAGGCUUGUUCGGAUCUGCUUCUGGUCCUGGUUCUCGCAGCUGUUGGAGCCUCUGCCGCCAUCAGAGCUGCCAUUGAAGCUAUUGAAUCGGUUCCAAUUCCUCCAUUUUUGAGACCGUGAGCUUUAAUCCUUGCUCUGCUUCUAUCCUAUUCCUAUGUCUUUCACCUGUUCUAACUAAGGAAACCUAUGUUUUGUUCAGUGUUGCUACUCUAUUUUCCUUGUUUACUGCUAGAACUAUCAUAGGGGAUACUGUCAAUGCCAUCAGGAAACUGUUAGAGCUGCUGUUGUUGCUGAUGCGAGUUAGAACGAAGUUGGAGUCACGUUUAAUUUUGUGAAUUUCGACAUCUAGUGACACAGGUUUGAAGAUACAAUAUGAAGCUGCAAGCGAUUAGUAGGCUUUCUUUAUGGUUUUAAUUGUUUUCAUAGAGUUUCCUUGCCUUUGUAGCUUUAGUUUUUAUUUUAUACGGAGGGAUAGGAUUUGUAUCUGAGUUUUAUUUGAAAUCUUUUGUA